AAAGCCAAGUACAUAUGUGUGAAAGCAAAUUUUAGUAUGGUGUCUUUUGUUGACAAAGUUAAAUCAGAUAUUCGUAUUAAUGUGCUCCAUACAUAGGUAGUAUCUCACAAAAUUAAGAGCUCAAAGCUCAAGCUUCAAGUAUUAACUUUAUUGUUAAUGUAAGUUUCUGAUUUCAUUAAACUGUGGGAGGCUAUCACCCUGUCACCCUGUUUGGAAAAUAUAAACCAACGAAGGAAUACCAACAGUUAAUCAAGCAAAUGCAAAAUGUCAUAAACAUGUUCACUGCGCCCCUUUACACUUGCUUGGUUGACCUGAACCUCUCCUGGACAUACAUCCUGCCUUACUACACAAUACCACUUUACUGGAAAGGACCAUUCUUUUUGACAGAGCAUCUCAAUUUGGGUCUUAUUUGUCAGUUUACUCUCAGUUCCACAGGUCUGUCUGCAUAAUCAAGUUUCCAUGGAGCCCUGCACUGGAGAAAGAGGAAAGGCAAAACAAAACAAAAUUCAGAACUGGCCAAGGGAGCCUGGAAACUGCACAUUGCCAUGGUUUGUGUGAGAGAUGAUUAAAAACCAAAAGCCAAUGGCUACACUAU
rnacentral:lncRNA from 1 species